GACGAACGCUGGCGGCGUGGAUUAGGCAUGCAAGUCGAACGGUAGGGUUCCUUCGGGGACCUGAGAGUGGCGAACGGGUGAGUAACACGUAGGUGAUCUACCCUCGAAUCGGGGACAACCCAGGGAAACUUGGGCUAAUACCGGAUGCGAGUGCCCUUCGGGGUAUUUAAAGGUGGCGUAAGCUGCCGUUUGAGGAUGAGCCUGCGCCCUAUUAGUUAGUUGGUGAGGUAACGGCUUACCAAGGCGAUGAUAGGUAGGCGGCCUUAACGGGUAGUCGCCCACACUGGGAUUGAGAUACGGCCCAGACUCCUACGGGUGGCUG
rnacentral:rRNA from 1 species